AUAAUAAUAAAAUAUAUUCAUAAAAAUUUUAAAUUUAUGGAUUUUUAUUUAACUUUAUUAUCAAUAUAUAUAUAUAUAAUAAAAAACUGUCUCAAAUAUAGAUUUGAGACAGUUUUCGUUAUUUAAA
rnacentral:misc_RNA from 2 species